UUGCAUUUCUAUAAUUAAAAAAAUUUAAACUCUCACUUAUUUUUUACUUUUUUUUAUUAGUUUUAUGAUUUAGGAUUAUGAGUGGAUUUAGUACUACUUCAUCUAAUUAUAUUAUAUGAUAUUGCUUGAUUAUAUAAGAGGUUAGAAAAUUACCUGCACAACAGUUGUAUUUUUAUAAGGCCACUCAAUAUUUGUGGUGGAAUUACAUUAUUUUAGUCAAUAUAAUUACAAUAUGUUUCACUUACUAUAUGGAUCUCCCAAUUACCAUUACAUUCUCUUUAGGCUUUCAAAAUUUUGACACUUAUCCAUUCCAUUAGUGAUAGUGGAAAAAUUAUAAGAGCAUUAAAAGUUUAAACAAUUAGUUUGAUAGAAAAAUAUUAAAUAUCACAUGAUCAAAGACUGAGUCUUGAAAGUUGUAAAAGUGUGUACUCUUUUGUCUUAAAUUAUUAAUCGUAAUUUUUAAAAAUAGUUAUAGCAGAUAAUUCAUUUUAGAAAUUUAAGAUAAAAUUGAUUUUUUUUUCUCAUUCUAUCAUUACUAAUUAUUUUUGAAUACUAUUAUAUAAUUUAGAUAUAGAGGUUAAGUACUUAAAAAGUUGUAUUAUAUGGAAUGGAAAAAAAAAGUCAUUUUGAAAGAUCUUAAUUAGUAGCUAAACUGUUCGAUUAUUUAUCCAAAUUUUUAUUUUAUUGGUGAGGGUUCGAUUUUCACUUUAUAAUUCCUUCUUUCAAUCCUACCCACUUUAUAUUUUUUUUGAAUAUUUAUUUAAGUGAAAUAGAUCUAAAUUAAUAAUUUUUGUAUUGUAAGUGUUCAAGUAGCAAAAACUUCAAAAUUAAUUUUAUCCUAAUUAAUUUCCAUCGUCAAAUUACCAAUCAUUUAGGAACAAUAACUCAAGCACACAACAAAUAUUUUCCUAUUAAUAAUCUAAAGCAUUUAAUUAAUUAUUAAUUCAAAAGCAAAAAUGUACUACAAUAUGAAUUUGCAUGUCCAACCCAUGCAACCUUCAACACCUAAACUCAUCCAAUUGGGGCCUAAUUAAAACUUCAAUCUCUCGUAGAAACAAAUUUCGAGAAGAGUUUUACUUCAUAUUCUAUAUGCUGACAGUAUAAUAAAAAAUCAAACUAAGUAUCAUCAUCAGAUCCCUCGUUGAUCUCUUCCCUAAUAGUCUCCAAUCCGGACUUAUGCGUAGGCUUUCGUCGAUACGUUAUAAGGGCUGGGGCAACCUCCAUCCUGCAAGAAUGUACAUUUCUUGAUCCCUUUGUCAUAUUUGCAAGGAAAUUAAUUGAUCAAAUAACAACUUAAAAAUAGUGAUUUAAUUUAAUUAUUAGGAUAUGGUCCCUUUCCUCCUAUAGCUUUUAUGGAAGAAAAAGAGACCACAAUUUGAGUUUAUUAUUAUUUGUAAAUUGUUUUUAAUCUUCUGAUGAAUUGGAAAGGUAAAGAUUUGGGCUUUAUAUAGUGGAGAUUGGACAAUGAGUAAUUGGCUUGUCCUUAAAAGUAGGACAAAGUUUUAUUUUGGUUCUUGAAUUAUUCAAUGGUGAGAUUUUUAUAAAUAUUGGAUGGCUUCAAUUAUUGUCCAUACGAAGCAUA
rnacentral:lncRNA from 1 species